rnacentral:sRNA from 1 species
GGUGGGAACUCUGUGGAGACUGCCGGUGAUAAACCGGAGGAAGGUGGGGACGACGUCAAGUCAUCAUGGCCCUUACGGGAUGGGCUACACACGUGCUACAAUGGCGCGUACAAUGGGAAGAAGCUAGCGAUAGUAAGCGGAUCUCAAAAAGCGCGUCGUAGUCCGGAUCGGAGUCUGCAACUCGACUCCGUGAAGUCGGAAUCGCUAGUAAUCGUGGAUCAGAAUGCCACGGUGAAUACGUUCCCGGGCCUUGUACACACCGCCCGUCACACCAUGGGAGUGGGCUGCACCAGAAGUGGAUAGUUUAACCUUCGGGAGAACGUUCACCACGGUGUGGUUCAUGACUGGGGUGAAGUCGUAACAAGGUAGCCGUAGGGGAACCUGCGGCUGGAUCACCUCCUUAUGAA